AGCUUUGCGCAGUGGCAGUAUCGUAGCCAAUGAGGUUUAUCCAAGGUGCGAUUAUUGCUAAUUGAAAACUUUAAAUGUUACUGUAUUUCACACUUUGAAGUGAGCUGCUGCUG
rnacentral:snRNA from 1 species